GAUGAACGCUGGCGGCGUGCCUAAUACAUGCAAGUCGAGCGAACAGACGAGGAGCUUGCUCCUCUGACGUUAGCGGCGGACGGGUGAGUAACACGUGGAUAACCUACCUAUAAGACUGGGAUAACUUCGGGAAACCGGCGCUAAUACCGGAUAAUAUAUUGAACCGCAGGGUGCAAUGGUGAAAGACGGUGUUGCGGUCACUUAUAGAUGGAUCCGCGCCGCAUUAGCUGGUUGGUAAGGUAACGGCUUACCAAGGCAACGAUGCGUAGCCGACCUGAGAGGGGGGUCGGCGCCCUUGGAGCUGGGCCACGGUCAAGACUCCUACGGGAGGCAGCAGUAGGGAAUCUUCCGCAAUGGGCGGAAGCUUGACGGAGCAACGCCGCGUGAGUGAUGAAGGUCUUCGGAUCGUAAAACUCUGUUAUUAGGGAAGAACAAAUGUGUAAGUAACUAUGCACGUCUUGACGGUACCUAAUCAGAAAGCCACGGCUAACUACGUG
rnacentral:rRNA from 1 species